rnacentral:rRNA from 1 species
UCAGGAUGAACGCUAGCGGCAGGCUUAACACAUGCAAGUCGAGGGGCAGCACGUCUUCGGAUGGUGGCGACCGGCGCACGGGUGCGUAACGCGUAUACAAUCUACCUUGUAGAGGGGGAUAGCCCGGGGAAACCCGGAUUAAUACUCCAUGGUACUUAGAGAUAGCAUUUUCUUUAGGUUAAACAUUUAUGGCUACAAGAUGAGUAUGCGUCCUAUUAGUUAGUUGGUAAGGUAACGGCUUACCAAGACCGCGAUAGGUAGGGGUCCUGAGAGGGAGAUCCCCCACACUGGUACUGAGACACGGACCAGACUCCUACGGGAGGCAGCAGUGAGGAAUAUUGGACAAUGGGCGAGAGCCUGAUCCAGCCAUGCCGCGUGCAGGAAGACGGCCCUAUGGGUUGUAAACUGCUUUUAUACAGGAAGAAACCCCUCUACGUGUAGAGGCUUGACGGUACUGUAGGAAUAAGGAUCGGCUAACUCCGUGCCAGCAGCCGCGGUAAUACGGAGGAUCCAAGCGUUAUCCGGAAUCAUUGGGUUUAAAGGGUCCGUAGGCGGGACAAUAAGUCAGCGGUGAAAGUCUGUGGCUCAACCAUAGAAUUGCCAUUGAUACUGUUGUUCUUGAGUGUUUAUGAAGUGGUUGGAAUAUGUAGUGUAGCGGUGAAAUGCAUAGAUAUUACAUAGAACACCGAUUGCGAAGGCAGAUCACUAAUAAAAUACUGACGCUGAUGGACGAAAGCGUAGGUAGCGAACAGGAUUAGAUACCCUGGUAGUCUACGCCGUAAACGAUGGUUACUAGCUGUUCGGUCGCAAGACUGAGUGGCUAAGCGAAAGUGAUAAGUAACCCAC